ensembl:snRNA U2 U2 spliceosomal RNA
AUAAAUUUUUUUUCGAAAGAAAAUCUGUUCUUAAUCUUUAUAACCCUGAAUAGCGUUUCCUCCAUUCGAGGACUUUUAUAUUAAAAGGAUUUUAGAGCGAGGAGCUUGGAGAGGGGCUUGCUCCGUCCGCUCCACGCAUCGACCUGGUAUUGCAGUACCCUCCAGGAACGGUGCACCUUUU